rnacentral:rRNA from 1 species
CUAGUACACUUAAAUUUAAUUAAUAACAUUAGAAUAUUAGAAGUUAUGUUCUUUAAAUUUAAAAAAUUUGGCGGUGUUUUAGUCUAGUUAGAGGAACCUGUUUUAUAAAUGAUAUGACACGCAUUAUUUUACUUAUUUUAGUAGAUCAGUUUGUAUACCGUCAUUAUAAGAUAAUUUAGGAGAGAAUAUUAUUGAAAUCGUAUUAUUGAGUAUAUUAGACCAUGGUGCAGCUUAUGGAUAAGUAAACAUGGGUUACAAUAAAAUUUAUUUAAUAUGAAUUAAGUGUUUAAAUAUGCUUAUGAAGGAGGAUUUAAUUGUAAGGGGAGAGUAGGGAGCUUUUCUGAUAAAAGCUCUAAAUUAUGUACAUAUCGCCCGUC